CGAAUGCUGACAUAAGUAACGAUAAAGCGGGUGAAAAGCCCGCUCGCCGGAAGACCAAGGGUUCCUGUCCAACGUUAAUCGGGGCAGGGUGAGUCGACCCCUAAGGCGAGGCCGAAAGGCGUAGUCGAUGGGAAACAGGUUAAUAUUCCUGUACUUGGUGUUACUGCGAAGGGGGGACGGAGAAGGCUAUGUUGGCCGGGCGACGGUUGUCCCGGUUUAAGCGUGUAGGCUGGUUUUCCAGGCAAAUCCGGAAAAUCAAGGCUGAGGCGUGAUGACGAGGCACUACGGUGCUGAAGCAACAAAUGCCCUGCUUCCAGGAAAAGCCUCUAAGCAUCAGGUAACAUCAAAUCGUACCCCAAACCGACACAGGUGGUCAGGUAGAGAAUACCAAGGCGCUUGAGAGAACUCGGGUGAAGGAACUAGGCAAAAUGGUGCCGUAACUUCGGGAGAAGGCACGCUGAUAUGUAGGUGAAGUCCCUCGCGGAUGGAGCUGAAAUCAGUCGAAGAUACCAGCUGGCUGCAACUGUUUAUUAAAAACACAGCACUGUGCAAACACGAAAGUGGACGUAUACGGUGUGACGCCUGCCCGGUGCCGGAAGGUUAAUUGAUGGGGUUAGCGCAAGCGAAGCUCUUGAUCGAAGCCCCGGUAAACGGCGGCCGUAACUAUAACGGUCCUAAGGUAGCGAAAUUCCUUGUCGGGUAAGUUCCGACCUGCACGAAUGGCGUAAUGAUGGCCAGGCUGUCUCCACCCGAGACUCAGUGAAAUUGAACUCGCUGUGAAGAUGCAGUGUACCCGCGGCAAGACGGAAAGACCCCGUGAACCUUUACUAUAGCUUGACACUGAACAUUGAGCCUUGAUGUGUAGGAUAGGUGGGAGGCUUUGAAGUGUGGACGCCAGUCUGCAUGGAGCCGACCUUGAAAUACCACCCUUUAAUGUUUGAUGUUCUAACGUGGACCCGUAAUCCGGGUUGCGGACAGUGUCUGGUGGGUAGUUUGACUGGGGCGGUCUCCUCCUAAAGAGUAACGGAGGAGCACGAAGGUUGGCUAAUCCUGGUCGGACAUCAGGAGGUUAGUGCAAUGGCAUAAGCCAGCUUGACUGCGAGCGUGACGGCGCGAGCAGGUGCGAAAGCAGGUCAUAGUGAUCCGGUGGUUCUGAAUGGAAGGGCCAUCGCUCAACGGAUAAAAGGUACUCCGGGGAUAACAGGCUGAUACCGCCCAAGAGUUCAUAUCGACGGCGGUGUUUGGCACCUCGAUGUCGGCUCAUCACAUCCUGGGGCUGAAGUAGGUCCCAAGGGUAUGGCUGUUCGCCAUUUAAAGUGGUACGCGAGCUGGGUUUAGAACGUCGUGAGACA
rnacentral:rRNA from 1 species